rfam:Picea glauca, whole genome shotgun sequence.
CCAUGUGAACAUCACUUGGACAUGGGUUAGUCGAUCCUAAGAGAUGGGGAAUCCUUGUAUCAAGGGUGCACUCUGCAUGAACAUUGAAAGAGAAUUGGGUUAAUAUUCCCAAAUCGGGACAUGGUGGUGGAUGACAAUGUUAGGAAAUCUGGAGAUGUCAUUGGGGGCCUAGGAAGAGUUAUCUUUUCUUUUUAACGACUUCCCCACCCUGAAAUCAGUUCAACCAGAGAUAGGGUCCAACAUCUGGAAGAGAACCACAUGUCUUGUGGUGUUUGGUGCCCCCUUGAUGACCAUUUAAAAUAUGGAGAACCGAGUACCAUCCAUGCCCAAUCGUACUCAUAUUUGCCUCCUU